CCUACGGGUGGCAGCAGUGAGGAAUAUUGGUCAAUGGGCGCAAGCCUGAACCAGCCAAGCAGCGUGAAGGAUGACUGCCCUGUGGGUCGUAGACUUCUUUUACAGGGGAAUAAAGUGCAGUAUGCAUACUGCUUUGCAUGUACCUUAUGAAUAAGCAUCGGCUAACUCCGUGCCAGCAGCCGCGGUAAUACGGAGGAUCCGAGCGUUAUCCGGAUUUAUUGGGUUUAAAGGGAGCGGAGGCGGGUUGUUAAGUCAGUUGUGAAAGUUCGGGGCUGAACCGUAGAAUUGCAGUUGAUACUGGGGGCCUUGAGUACAGUAGAGGUAGGCGGAAUGCGUGGUGUAGCGGUGAAAUGCAUAGAUAUCGCGAAGAACCCCGAUUGCGAAGGCAGCGUGCUGGACGGCAACUGACGCUGAGGCUCGAAAGUGUGGGGAUCAAACAGGAUUAGAUACCCGAGUAGUC
rnacentral:rRNA from 1 species